rnacentral:rRNA from 1 species
CUCGGGCCUUGUACACACCGCCCGUCACACCACGAAAGUUGGCAAUACCCGAAGCCGGUGGCCUAACCCGCAAGGGAGGGAGCCGUCGAAGGUAGGGUCGAUGAUUGGGGUG